ensembl:lncRNA
UUUUUUAUUUUUUUGCUUUUUAUGGCCACGCCUGUGGCAUAUGGAAGUUCCCAGGCUAGGGGCUGAAUCAGAGCUGCAGCUGCCGGCAUACGCCACAGUCAGGACAACACCAGAUCCGAGCCACAUCUGUGACCUAUGCUGCAGCUCUCGGCAAUGCCAGAUCCUUAACCCUCUGAUCGAGGCCGUGGAUAGAACCCACAUCCUCAUGGAGACGAUGUCAGGUUCUUAAUCUGCUGGGCCACAGUGGGAACUCCCAGUACCCCAAUUCUUACAACGUGUCUCUUCCUGUGACAUUACAGUCCUCUCAGUAUCUCACACUAUUUUCAUUUUUAUUUGCUUUUUUUAGAGCCACACCCAAGGCAUAGGGAAGUUCCUUGGCUAGGGGUCGAAUUGGAGCUACAGCUGCCGGCCUACACCACAGCCACAGCAACACAGGAUCUACACCACAGCUCACGGCACCACCAGAUCCUUAACCCACUGAGGGAGGCCAGGGAUGGAACCCGAGUCUUUAUGGAUGCUAGUAGGGUUCCUUGCUGCUGAGCCACGAUGGGAACUCCCACUCUCACACUAUUUUCACUCUCUGGUUUCUUGCUUUCAGGAAUGAGGAAGUGCUCCAAAAAGGGCGAAGGGCUGAAAAGCCAUCUUUCUCAUUGACCUUUUAUCUACAUGCAACAUAGAGUUUAAGUGGUGUAAUUUGUAUUUGAAAAAUUACAAUAGAUUUCAAAUUCUUCUGAAUUCCCCUAGACUGCAGGGAAAAAAGAGAGCUUCUCCAAGACCAAAGGUACAGAAAACAUCUUAGAGGAAGUCUACUUUGGUGUCAGAAUCCUACCAUGUGAUAUGCAAUCCUUUGGAUUAUUAAGGAAAUAGAUGGGUUUUUUUUUUGUUGUUUUUCCUCCCAGCUUAUUUCCACCAGUGACUCUGUCUGUUGCAAAAGUUCCCACAAAAACAAAACAUAUUGGAGUUCCUAUUCUGGCUCUGUGGGGUUAAGAACCCAACAUAGUGUCUGUGAAAAUGCAGAUUUGAUCCCUGGCCUCGGUCAGUGGGUUAAGGAUCUCGUGUUGCCACAAGCUGUGGCAUAGAUCACAGACGUGACUUGGAUCUGGCAUUACUGUGUCUGUGACGUAGGCCUGUAGCUGCAGCUCUGAUUUGAUCCCUAGCCUGGGAACUUCAAUAUGCUUCACUGCAGGCAUAAAAUGAAAAAAAAAAAAAAUGAUCAGAAGGAGAGUAGAAUAAAGCAUAACCCAGGACCCACCAGACUAGAGAAGGGCAUGCCAUUAGAGGCUGCUGGGCAGCAGAAAUGGCAACCUGAGAAUCCUUAAUAAUGAGACGACGACGGAGAGAGAUCUCCCAAGUGGAAGCUUCGAUGAUCCAACUCCAGGUUAAAACGAAUUUUAAAAUGGUAUGCAGUGAGAACAUGAGUUAUAUAGCAUAGCUCCUAUCCAUCUGCCGAAUUAAAGACAAACCUGCACAGGUGUCUGGGAAGGAUGCUAUAGCAGUGGUGCAGGUUUGGGAUCUCCCUGCAUCCCUAUAUGUUAAGUAGGCAGAACAACAAGGUGGGAAAACCAAGGAGUUGUUGAGAAAAUAUAUCUGUGUAAAGACAUAAAGACACGGAGCCAUAAGUCGCAUGGAUGCCAGAGAAAGCAGUGACCCAAACAGGGAGAACAGACACUUCCAGGAACUCGGGUCUGGAAGGCGCCUGGUGUGUUUGAGGGAGAUAGCGGGGGACAGCGGAGGAGAAAUUGAGGAGGUGAGGCAGAGAGGCAGAGAGGCACUCAGGGUGGUAGGGAGGAGGCCAGCCCAUCCCUGGGCUUUGCUUUCAAUGCCAUGUGAGGGGGAGAAACUGGACACUGCUUAGAAGGUUCUAGGCACUGGAGUGGUGCCCUGUGCUCAGCGUGAUCCCUCUAACUGCCAUCGUAAGAUGUAAUUAGGUGAACUACUCCCAGAGAGCGAAGGAAAAAGAUAUGUUAAAACCAUAGGAUCAGCGUUCCCAGUGCGACUCAGCAGGUUAAGAGCCUGACUAGUAUCCAUGAGAAUGCGGGUUCGUUCCCUGGCCUUGCUCAGUGGGUGAAGAAUCCAGCGCUGCAGAAAGCUGAGGUCGCAGAUGCGGCUCAGAUCUGGCAUUGCUGUGGCUGUUGUGUAGGCUGGCAGCUGCAGCUCCGAUUGGACCCCUAGCCCAGGAAUCUCCAUAUGCCACAGGGGCAGCCCGCAAAAGAAAAGAAAAAAAAAAAAAAGUAAAAGUAUACGAUGAAACAUUCCCCCCCCCCAAAAAAAAGUAUUUAUCCUGGGAUUCAGGGGACAGGAAAAGGGAAAUUUGUGUGUGGGUUUUCUUCUUUCCACGCCUCUGAUUUACCUAUUACAAUGGAAAGCAUUACUUUUUAAGUAAGUAUAAUCGUAGAUAGACAGCUGAUAGAGAGAUGUGUUAACUUCCUGUGUUCCAGCUUCCAUAUUCUGUACAAUCCAUCUCCAGUGGUCCUUAAAAGUCAUCCCCCAGGAACUGUUUUUGGUCCUCCCCCAAGUCAGUCUUCUUAUUCUGGGGCAGCUUUUAUUGUGGAACACGUUUCCCCCACUGGGAUCUCAAUUCUCUUUCCUUGUAACUUCUCGCCAACCUAUCCUCGUUUUAAUUAUUUAGCAGACACGGAAAAUGGGCUUAAUUAUGCUUUUACAUCUGCUUGCCGUGGAAAGGUACCUGGGCUCGGAGACGCCUAAGGAACAUUUUGUAAAUUUCACUUUCCUGGAGGCUGGUCCUGCGUUGGUGGACAGGGCUCAACAGAGACGUAAGAGGAAGAAAUACACAAUGAAGGAAGGGUAGUGGGAACACGUACUUCUCUGGAAUAUAAAAAGAAACUCGCAUCUCCUAUUAGGCAAUCUUAUAAAACCGUAAGUGACACGGGGAAGUUAUUGGGAAAUGUGAGGUCCUAGUAGGCUACUGUGGGCAGCACCACUGAAGAAUAAUUGAGAAAUUCAGCCUGGAGAGGACUUCACACCCUCUUGUUGGUUUCAGAGUGGACUGCUUUUCUUACGAGAAUUAUUUUUAGAAACGUUAUCUCAUAUCUUCCGUGCUUGUAUUAUUUUUUUUCCUUUCUAAUUUUACACCUGACUGCCCUGAGUGGGUGUGUGUGUAGGAGGGGUGGGAAGUGAAAGGACCAAGUGGUAGUUGCACAAUACAAAGGAAUACAAAUUGCUUAGACUCACAUUGCUUAGGCUCUUCUCACGAAAUUCUCAGGCUGCUACUAAGUGGACUUACGCAAUGCCUUUUAACAAAUGGAAGAGCACUUCACUAAUUGCAUACUAUUAUUAGAGGGUGAGUUCAGUGAAAAUAAGGGAAUAUAAUAUUUAUAAAUAAAUGCAAGGUGUGUUGAUUAUGCUUGGUGAGAAGAACCUAGAAGAUGUGAGAGAUGGAGAAGAAAACAGAGAAUGCCUUAAAACAUGAAACUUUGUUUUUCAUGAGUGAGAAGCUAUGCCUCUACCUGAACAGACAGUAUCCUAUCGUCUUAGGAAAUGCUUUCUCUAAUACAGACUUUGGUUAAGAAAGCUUUUAUGGGUGUUCUCGUUGUGGCUCCGUGGGUUGAGAACCCAAUAUAGUCUCCGUGAGGAUGUGAGUUCCAUUCCUGGCUUUGCUCAGUGGGUUAAGGAUCUGGCAUUGCCACAAGCUGGGGCAGAUCUGGCUUUGCCGUGGCUGUGGCGUAGGCCUCAGCUGCAGCUCCAAUUCGACCACUAGCCCAGGAAUUUCCAUAUGCUGCAGGUGUGGCUGUAGAAAUAAAAAUUAGGAAAAAAAAAAAAAGUUUUUAUGUUUUAGUUUAUGUAAGGGAUGGGACUGAAGUUAUAUAGAGCUGAAAAUGUUUUCUUGUUCUCCAGAAGUCGCUCGUGGAAAAACACAUGCAAACACAAAACAUACAUCACCAAAUCUACACGUGCAAAUGCACAGUCAAAUCCCAAAUGCUGGUGGUGCAAGGCAGACUGAUCAGAACAAUAGGUUCCACAGAGUUAGUGGAGAGAGAUGGUGAAAAUGACAAAUACAUUCAUUUCCCACGAGAAAUGAUGACUCUUUGCUUACCCCAAAAGUCACCCAAUUUCUUUUCCCCAAACAAGGCUGAAACCCAGAAGAAACACAAGCAAAAAGUCUGCUCUGUUUUUAAGGCAAAUAUUAGAGUAAUAACCACAGCUACCACCUUCAUGUUGGUUGAGCACUUUCUAAUUUCCAGGAACAGUGCUAAAUACGUGAUGUACUUUAAAUGAAUUAAUUCACUCACUCAACCAAUCCAAUCUGUCAGAUAAUGCAGUGCCUGGUAGGAAAGCAGUUGGUCCCCAAGCAGGUCUCCUUGUCUCUCCCAUCCAAACGUUACAACCAGUAGCCUCCAAAUUGGCUGUGCACAUCUCUGCAGGUGUAUCAAAUGGUCUACUUGGGUGUGAGAGGAAAAUCUGAAAGAGGUUCAUUUCAGUUUGGGUGUUUCUUUCUUUAAAAAUUGUUUUUGUGUGUCAUAUACAAAAUGCAUAAUAUUGUAAGCUUAUAAAGUUUAUAAAUAUAAAAAUUUACAUACUGUAGGUUGUGCUCAAAAUAUGUGAUGUUAGGAAUGUAUAAUCUAAGAAGUUUUUAAAAGAAUGCUUCAAGUAUUAAGCCAUAUGGCUCCAAAAUUUACACCAAUCCCCAAAGCAUGUACACAUUUCUUUUAGAAGUUCAUUUUUAGCACAUUUCUAUCAAUUUGGUUAAGCCAAAUAAAAAUCUCCUUGUAAAAUCCAAUUUCAAUUUCACAUUUUAGAAAAAUUGGUAGCAAUGCUGCUAUUGUAGUAACCCAAAUCCCUAGAUUAGAAUUGCAGAUUUCAAGGGGGAAAGUGAUUACUGGAAGCAAAAUAUUAUCUAGAAGUUUGAACUGACAGAGAUCAAAAUAUUUUUAUAAACUGUUAUAAAUAGCAAAUAUUAAAUCUUUUAACCAGUCCAUUUGAGGCCAUUUAAUGUAUAUUUCACUUUAUUGAAACAAGAUACAUCAGACAAAAAACAAAAUGAGGGCCCUUCUUGAAAUUUUCCCCUUC